rnacentral:rRNA from 1 species
GAUGAACGCUAGCGGCAGGCUUAACACAUGCAAGUCGAGGGGUAACAGGGUGCUUGCACCGCUGACGACCGGCGCACGGGUGCGUAACGCGUAUAGAACCUACCUUAUAGUAAGGGAUAGCCCAGAGAAAUUUGGAUUAAUACCUUAUAAUAUAUUUAUUCAGCCUUGGAUUAAUAUUAAAGAUUUAUCGCUAUGAGAUGGCUAUGCGUUCUAUUAGUUAGUUGGUAAGGUAACGGCUUACCAAGACUUCGAUAGAUAGGGGCCCUGAGAGGGGGAUCCCCCACACUGGUACUGAGACACGGACCAGACUCCUACGGGAGGCAGCAGUGAGGAAUAUUGGACAAUGGAGGCAACUCUGAUCCAGCCAUGCCGCGUGUAGGAAGACUGCCCUAUGGGUUGUAAACUACUUUUAUAGAGGAAGAAUGUCUAAUACGAGUUAUUAGUUUGACGGUACUCUACGAAUAAGGAUCGGCUAACUCCG